rnacentral:rRNA from 1 species
CGAGUUUGAUCCUGGCUCAGGAUGAACGCUAGCGGCAGGCUUAACACAUGCAAGUCGAGGGGUAACAGUGCUUUCGGGCAGCUGACGACCGGCGCACGGGUGCGUAACGCGUAUGCAAUCUACCUUUAACAGGAGGAUAGCCCCGAGAAAUCGGGAUUAAUACUCCAUAAUAUUUUCCUAUGACAUCAUAAGAAAAUCAAAAGCUCCGGCGGUUAAAGAUGAGCAUGCGUCCCAUUAGUUAGUUGGUAGGGUAACGGCUUACCAAGACGUCGAUGGGUAGGGGUUCUGAGAGGAUGAUCCCCCACACUGGUACUGAGACACGGACCAGACUCCUACGGGAGGCAGCAGUGAGGAAUAUUGGGCAAUGGACGCAAGUCUGACCCAGCCAUGCCGCGUGCAGGAUGACAGCCUUAUGGGUUGUAAACUGCUUUUGUUUGGGAAGAACACUAUGUACGUGUACGUAGGUGACGGUACCAGACGAAUAAGCAUCGGCUAACUCCGUG